rnacentral:rRNA from 1 species
UACGUAGGGGGCGAGCGUUGUUCGGAUUCACUGGGCGUAAAGGGUGUGUAGGUGGUUAUGUAAGUCGAGUGUGAAAGUCUUCCGCUCAACGGAGGAAGUGCAUUCGAAACUAUAUAGCUAGAGUUCGGGAGAGGAGAGCGGAAUUCUCGGUGUAGCGGUGAAAUGCGUGGAGAUCGAGAAGAACACCAGCGGUGAAAGCGGCUCUCUAGACCGAUACUGACACUGAGGCACGAAAGCGUGGGGAGCGAACGGG